rnacentral:lncRNA from 1 species
UCUUUUCCAAUGAGUCAACUCUUGUCAAUAGGAAACGCAGAAAGGACCUCUCGCUUCACCGCCCUGGCCCUGGGCUGGCAGGGAGAGAUGACAGCGUGUGUCCCUUAUUGGAAUUGCAAACAGACAAAAGAUUCUCACUUUCCAUUCACUUGUAACUGAGGUUGUAGGCCGGACAGUGCUUCACGGUUCUUAAACCCAGAUCCUUUAAGGAUAAGUAUUGUUGUUAUCAAUUUUUGUUGGGGGCUAGGGGGAGCAUUAUAUUAAAUGUGCAUUUCAAUUCUAAAACAUGUGAAUUUCAGUGAUAUUGUAACAUAUGAAUAAAUGUAGAAUGUGGCAGAUAUCUUCGAUAUCUCUCGAUAGGAAGAGUGGUGUCCACUACCGGCUUUGUGUUCAUUUCAGCAUCUAGGAUUCUGUUCAUGAUCACAGCCAGCGCUGGAGGGCAAGUGUUUCAAAAAUCACUACCCAGAGGAGUCCCCCUGCCAGCCAUCUGUUGAAAAAUGAAGAAAACUAUAUGGAAGGACAGACCAAGACAGAACUACAAAAAUGACUUCUGCCAGUGGAGCUGUGCAGUGCUAACUGACAGUUACUCAUCUGUUAAGGACCACAGCUGCAGACUGAGAACUGCCUUACCAACUCCCAUCCUGCAACUUGCUGAGCCCUGCAACUUGUUAAGCAGGUGCCCAUAGCGUUAUGCCAGCUUCAUUUCUUCACCUGGCAGGAUGGUUUCCCCACAAAGGAACUCCAUAUCUGCAACAGAGAAGCCCUGCAGAAGGAAUGUGAACUAGCUUGGGUGUUGUUCCCCCAAGGCAGCUGAAUCCAGUGUGCAGUUUUUCCAACCUCACAGAACCAGCAAGAAGCACCCCCUCUCCGAGGCUUAAGUCUCAGAGCCCCUCCUCCAACCUUCUGAUAUUUUCAACCUCUCCCCUUGGAAGUUAGCUGUGGGGGUAACUGCUGCUUCCUGAAACUGCUAGUCUCAUAUACCCUAGAGUUCUCUUUACCCUUUAAGAUACCUAGUUAAUGAGUCUCUCUGUUUAAUUCUUUCUGUUAAAAUAACUGGUAUGUAACAAACAACCCAAUCAAAAAAUGAGAAGAACUAAAUAAACAUUUUUCCAAAGAAGACAUACAGAUGGCCAAUAACACAUAAAAAGAUGCUCAACAUCAUCAAGUACU